CUUUUUGAUAAUAAUUUAAGGUCCGGCCUGCCCAAUGAUUUUUAAAUGGCCGCGGUACUUUGACCGUGCAAAGGUAGCAUAAUCAUUAGUUUUUUAAUUGAAAGCUGGAAUGAAAGGUCAGAUGAGAAVAUAGCUGUCUCUAUCUAAAUUUAUUAGAAUUUUAUUUUUAAGUUAAAAAGCUUAAAUAUAUAUAAAAGACGAGAAGACCCUAUAGAGUUUUAUAAUUUCAWUAUUUAKAGUUUUUAGUAUUGUAAUGUUUAAAAAAUGAAAUUAUUUAGUUGGGGUGAUUGAAAAAUUAAAUAAACUUUUUUUUUAUUUAAACAUUANUUUAUGAUUGDDUGAUCCUUAUUUAAAGAUUAAAAGAAUAAAUUACCUUAGGGAUAACAGCGUAAUUUUUUUUGAGAGUUCAAAUCGAAAAAAAAGAUUGCGNCCUCGAUGUUGGAUUAAAAUUAAUUUUUGGUGUAGGGGCUAAA
rnacentral:rRNA from 1 species